rnacentral:tRNA from 1 species
GGCGGCGUAGCCAAGUGUUUAAGGCAAUAGUCCGCAAGACUAUCAUUCCCUGUGUUCAAAUCCGGGCGCCGCCUCCA